rnacentral:rRNA from 1 species
UACGUAGGGGGCAAGCGUUAUCCGGAUUUACUGGGUGUAAAGGGAGCGUAGACGGUACGCCAAGUCUGAAGUGAAAUGCCGCAGCUUAACUGCGGAACUGCUUUGGAAACUGGCGCGCUGGAGUGCCGGAGGGGUAGGCGGAAUUCCUAGUGUAGCGGUGAAAUGCGUAGAUAUCACGCAGAACCCCGAUUGCGAAGGCAGCAUACCGGCGCCCUACUGACGCUGAGGCACGAAAGUGCGGGUAUCGAACAGG